rnacentral:lncRNA from 1 species
AAUUUUUGUUAAUUUCAUGAAUAUUGAGUACGUCGACCGAUACGUAUCUGCCCAUUCGAUACGGCCCAGCCCAACAAACACGCGUGCACUCCCUCUAUCCCCAAUGCCAGGCCCCGACGCCCACACUCCCGCACUUCGUGCCACCUCCAGCGAACAUGCGUGGUGAUGUCUUGUCCUGCUCGCCGGCCGUCGGCCGCUGGCAACGAGUCUCCGCCCCCGCUCGCCAGCGACGAGCUCCGCCCGCGCUCACCGGCGAUGAGCUCCACCCCUACUCGCCGGCCGCCGGCAAAGUCUCUGCCCUGCAACUUGGAUCCAGGUGUCCAGCGACCUGCCGACCUCCCAUCCCGUGAGUUCAUACCCUUCCCUAUUCUCGAUCUACUAUAUUUCUGCAGUUCAUGACUUAUUGUUGCUUGAUUUCUUUGGUCCGCACUUCCUCUUCCUCUGUCCAUUCUCGAUCUACUCUGUUUUUGCAUUUCUUAAUUUCUUGUUGCCUGAUUUUCUUUGUAUGCAGUGGAUGGUGUCUGGCAUGUCUCCAAAUAUGAGUAGAUGGCGUCUCUUUUUUCCAUUCUCGAUCUACUCUGCAGCUCGCUGUUUUGGAUGAGUGAAACAAUUGAGGAAAUAGAGAGCUGAUGAGAGGCUGAAUGCCAUUUAUUAAUAGUAAAACAUAAUAAUAGAACUUAAGUAGUUAUUAUCUUUUUAAUUUUUAAAAUAGUAAAACGUAUCCGCGUAUCAGAUUUUUUAGAAAAUUGCCAUAUCCGUGUAUCCGUAUCCUUCCGAUACUGAUACGCGCAUCCGUAUCCGUGCUGCAUAGCAUACCAGCAAGUACAGGCUUUAAUUUAUCUCCCAGAGUACUCACAUAACCGCUUCGCAGCACGCUUCCUUCCUGAUUAUCAGUUUGGCCAAGAAAUCCCUGACUGAGCUGCUCUACUCGCCGCGGGCCAUGAGGCGCAGCUUGCAAUGGGUACAGCCAGCCACGGGGCUCCGCCCGCCCUGGCUGGCCAUGCUGCAAGGGCUGCCGCCGCCGGAGCCUCUCUGAUGUCACGCCAACAGCCUUCAAGCACUAGAUCUGGUCUAGGGUUUGGGGAGCUUGAGAAACAUGGAAAAGGAUGAGAUAGAGAUAGAGAGAAAAGGCGACCGAGCGUUUCCUCAGGAAACAGAGCUGGGAAAUGUUCCAUCCAUGUUUUUGGGCAAGGGCAUUUUCGUCCUUCUGUGAUUAAUCUAACAGCAAGCACUAACAGAAGUGGACAGUGUCAAAUUGGGCAUAAAAAUAAAUUGUCAUUUAG